rnacentral:lncRNA from 1 species
UGUUGACAGUGGGGUGUUAAAGUCUCCCAUUAUUAUUGUGUGGCAAUCUAAGUCUCUUUGUAGGUCUCUAAGGACUUGCUUUAUGAAUCUGGGUGCUCCUGUAUUGGGUGCACCCAAUAUUUGGGAUAGUUAGUUCUUCUUGUUGAAUUGAUCCCUUUACCAUUAUGUAAUGGCCUUCUUUGUCUUUUUUGAUCUUUGUUGGUUUAAAGUCUGUUUUAUCAGAGACUAGGAUUGCAACACCUGCCUUUUUUGUUUUCCAUUUGCUUGGUAGAUCUUCCUCUAUCCCUUUAUUUUGAUCCUAUGUGUGUCUGUGCACGUGAAAUGGGUUUCCUGAAUGCAGCACACUGAUGGGUCUUGACUCUUUAUCCAGUUUGCCAGUCUGUGUCUUUUAAUUGGAGCAUUUAGCCCAUUUACAUUUAAGGUUAAUAUUGUUAUGUGUGAAUUUGAUCCUAUCAUUAUGAUGUUAGCUGGUUAUUUUGCUCAUUAGUUGACGCAGUUUCUUCCUAGCCUCGAUGGUCUUUAGAAU